rnacentral:rRNA from 1 species
CCGGGUUGCGGACAGUGUCUGGUGGGUAGUUUGACUGGGGCGGUCUCCUCCUAAAGAGUAACGGAGGAGCACGAAGGUUGGCUAAUCCUGGUCGGACAUCAGGAGGUUAGUGCAAUGGCAUAAGCCAGCUUGACUGCGAGCGUGACGGCGCGAGCAGGUGCGAAAGCAGGUCAUAGUGAUCCGGUGGUUCUGAAUGGAAGGGCCAUCGCUCAACGGAUAAAAGGUACUCCGGGGAUAACAGGCUGAUACCGCCCAAGAGUUCAUAUCGACGGCGGUGUUUGGCACCUCGAUGUCGGCUCAUCACAUCCUGGGGCUGAAGUAGGUCCCAAGGGUAUGGCUGUUCGCCAUUUAAAGUGGUACGCGAGCUGGGUUUAGAACGUCGUGAGACAGUUCGGUCCCUAUCUGCCGUGGGCGCUGGAGAACUGAGGGGGGCUGCUCCUAGUACGAGAGGACCGGAGUGGACGCAUCACUGGUGUUCGGGUUGUCAUGCCAAUGGCACUGCCCGGUAGCUAAAUGCGGAAGAGAUAAGUGCUGAAAGCAUCUAAGCACGAAACUUGCCCCGAGAUGAGUUCUCCCUGACUCCUUGAGAGUCCUGAAGGAACGUUGAAGACGACGACGUUGAUAGGCCGGGUGUGUAAGCGCAGCGAUGCGUUGAGCUAACCGGUACUAAUGAACCGUGAGGCUUAACCUUACAACGCCGAAGGUGUUU